rnacentral:rRNA from 1 species
GAUGAACGCUGGCGGCGUGCCUAAUACAUGCAAGUCGAGCGAACGGACGAGAAGCUUGCUUCUCUGAUGUUAGCGGCGGACGGGUGAGUAACACGUGGAUAACCUACCUAUAAGACUGGGAUAACUUCGGGAAACCGGAGCUAAUACCGGAUAAUAUUUUGAACCGCAUGGUUCAAAAGUGAAAGACGGUCUUGCUGUCACUUAUAGAUGGAUCCGCGCUGCAUUAGCUCGUUGGUAAGGUAACGGCUUACCAAGGCAACGAUGCUUAGCCGACCUGAGAGGAUGAUCGGCCACCCUGGAUCUGAGAGACGGUCCAGACUCCUACGGGAGGAAGCAGUAGGGAAUCUUCCGCAAUGGGCGAAAGCCUGACGGAGCAACGCCGCGUGAGUGAUGAAGGUCUUCGGAUCGUAAAACUCUGUUAUUAGGGAAGAACAUAUGUGUAAGUAACUGUGCACAUCUUGACGGUACCUAAUCAGAAAGCCACGGCUAACUACGUG